UAUAAUGCCUGAGUUUUCUCUCUUCUAAUAGCAGCCACGUCAGAUUAUUUUUAUGGCUGUGGGACCCACGUUUUUUUUUCUGUUCGGUUUGAUCAUUAAUUUUUCGCGCUUGGUUUGAAGAUUUAGGCGUCUGAUUUUGGUAUAUAGGCGUUGGUUCGAUUAUUUACACGGUUUGGUUAUAUAGGAAAGUUUGGUUACUUAACAAAACUCUGCGUUUUGUAUUUGACUAGCUUAGGUUUCAUUAUUAUCUGUUCGACCCCUCAGCCUCGCCGUCUCCGUUAAUCUUUCCCUGCAACACAAUGUUUUUCCCUGUGAACUCUUAAGCUUCCAUUCCAUUCAACGUAUUCCUCUUACUUUCGGCAAUCAAUGUUUUUCUCAUUAAACCCAAUAACUAUGUCGACCUCUCCGUUUCCUUCACGUUAAACUAUUAUCCGGAGUGGGUUCUGAGUCGGAUGAACCUUCACAAUCACUCUCUGUUCAACUUCUUAAUCAAGCGUAGAAAGAUUCUGGGAUAAUGUCUUCUUCCGAUGCUAUGACUGAGACUCUUUUGCUCACCAUGGAAGUCUAAACAUCAACCGUUUCUUUAACCGACAGUGUGGAGAUGCUUGUGAACUUGGACAUCCUUGGUCACUCCUGAAUCAAAUGAGUAUGUCAGAGACAAGGUUGCGUAUGCACUUGGUCACGGUUUGAAAGUAAUUGCCUGUGUUGGCAAAACUCUUGAGCAGCGAGAGGAUGGGCUGACCAUGGAUGUUGUCGCUGCUCAGACUAAAGCUAUUACUGGCGAAGCUGCAUUUGUUGGUUUCAAUGGCGAGAUGACAAAGCUAACCAACAUCUAGGCCUCUCAGGCUGGUCCUCUGCUGGCUGAAGAUGGAGAGAACCCAGAGAUAGUUAGCUCCCUCAGUUUACACAUCCCAGGUCAAAGUUAUGGACUACAUUUCAAAAAGUUCGUAAUGAGAAGGAAUCUUUGGUGAGCAAUUUGGAGGGUCAAGCGAAAUUAAUUAACAGCAAAGAGACGCAACAAAAUAUGAUCUUCUCUUCUAAAGAAUAUGCUGAGCAGCUUGAAAAGGCAGCUUGAAAAGGCAUUGCCUUUUGCACUUUUAUUUUUGGUGCGUUUGUGGUGGUGGCAGAUUGUUAUUUUACAGAUUCUCGGUGGCUUCAUUGGUUUUGCAGGAAAACAUGACACUGAUGAAAGCUCUAGCACACAGAAAUAAAAUUAUUGAGCUUAGCGGGGUUGAGUUUCAGAAACUAAGGAUCAACUUACGGAAUGUGCAGGAAAAGAAUUUGCAGCUUGCGCGGAGCUAAAAUCAAACAGAGACAGGGUAUGCUUUUUCUGGAAUUGAAGUUGCUCAAAACGAGGCUUUCCUAUUUCAUUAUAUUGCAACUUCCUUGACCAACUGACAUAGUGGAUUUUAUCAUUAAAUCCAUGUGUUCGUGAAUCUGGACAAGUAACAGAAUCUGCCAGGAACAUGCAAGUCUGUCAGGUCAUGCAGCCAACGAGAACAAACGCAAACGCCCGUGAGUGAUUCUGGCAAGGCCAUCUAACCGUCAAUCUUCUCUACUUCGUACUUUAUUGUCUCUUUGAUAUGCUGUAAACUAUUUCUUAUUGGUGUAAGAAUUACAAUGACUUCUUUACUUAUUUACCAAUGUCCCCAACUUUAUAAACAGUAAAGUUUAACUUCACCAAUGCAUAAUUGUCAGUCAU